rnacentral:rRNA from 1 species
UACGUAGGUGGCGAGCGUUGUCCGGAUUUACUGGGCGUAAAGAGCGCGCAGGCGGUCGUUCAAGUCGCGUGUGAAAGCCCCCGGCUCAACUGGGGAGGGUCACGCGAUACUGAUCGACUCGAAGGCAGGAGAGGGUAGUGGAAUUCCCGGUGUAGUGGUGAAAUGCGUAGAUAUCGGGAGGAACACCAGUGGCGAAGGCGACUACCUGGCCUGUUCUUGACGCUGAGGCGACGAAAGCUAGGGAGCAAGCGGG